rnacentral:rRNA from 1 species
CUACGGGCGGCUCCAGGCGCGAAAUCUUCACAAUGCGCGAAAGCGUGAUGAGGGGAUCCCAAGUGCCCUUGUAAUGCAAGGGCUUUUGUAGAGUGUAAAUAGCUCUAUGAAUAAGGGCUGGUCAAGACCAGUGCCAGCCCCCGCGGUAACACUGGCAGCUCAAGUGGUGGUCGUUUUUAUUGGGCUUAAAGCAUCCGUAGCCGGUUCAGCAAGUCUUCUGUGAAAUCCUGUCGCUUAACGAUAGGUCUUGCAGAGGAUACUACUGGGCUAGGAGCCGGUAGAGGUUAGGGGUAUUCUUGGGGUAGCGGUGAAAUGUGAUAAUCCUAGGAAGACCAUCAAUGGCGAAGGCACCUAACUAGAACGGGCUCGACGGUGAGGGAUGAAAGCUAGGGGAGCAAACCGGAUUAGAUACCCUAGUAGUC